rnacentral:lncRNA from 1 species
GUUUUCUUUGCUCUUGACAAAAAGAUAAGACACAAGAACAACCACGAGCUUCUGACUCACCAGGAAGAAAAAGCAUGUUUUGUUUGUUACAGUAAAGAUUAACCUAAUAGCUAUAUCUUUUAUGUGUUUUUGGAAAUUUCCAGAAUUACUUCAAAUGCGACUGCCUUCAGAAAUUCUGAGAACACUUUCUGGAUGAAGUUAGAAAUCAGUGGCAGUUACAUGCAGGACCAGGAACAAACUGCUGAUUUGAGCCAAGUUCUAAAAAGUGAUAUAUCAGGAUCAGUGGUCCUCAUUACUCUCUGCGAGGACAUGAUAAAAAGGGAGACCUCUCAACUUAAGGACAUCCAUUGAAAAGGAAGUAGAAAAACAGCUGGCACAUCCAUGCAGCUGAAGUUUAUUUUUGCCACACUUGUCAAGUCCAAACUGUCAUCCAAGCUAGGAUCAGCACCCAGCAGUGAGAGCAAGCAUAGGUUCAUUGACACAUUACCAGCUACUCUCAAGCUGUCAGAUCCUUUCAGGCUGUGAAUAAUAGCUGGGACUCCUCCACAUAGCAGCAUGGAAUCAGCAUCCUAAAAGGACAUAUAAUAUUUGCUUCUGUUUCUUAGUGAUCAGAAGGAGCUGAUCCUGGUUUCUUGAGAGCUUUUCUCACAGAAUCAAAAGCAGAAAGCUGAAGACUGCGUUUAGUUGUCUGACCUUUGAGGGAAGGAGCCAGGCCAGAACAAGUCUGUGUUUACAUUUCCCAGUCAGGGGAGGAAUGACAAGAUUGGUAAGGGUGUUAGAAGUGUGAGAGAGCCUUCUGGUUUAUGUUAUGUUGACCACUAUAGACAGCUUCGCUUUUCCUUCCCUUUUUUCCCUUGAGAAAAAAGUUGUUUUCUACUGAGCAAUUAUGGAGGAACAAAUGCAAGCUGAGAAGAAUGAAGUGUGUGUGUGAGAGAGAAGGACUGAGACUGAGUAUUUCAUAGUAUAGGCCCAACCUUGUUUUUUUUCAGCUGAUCCAGAAUCAGUGACAGAUCCUGAUAUAACCUUGAAGGUUAUGUGGCAUUUAGAAAUUACUGCUCUCUGUUAAUCCAUGGCCAACAUAAUUUGAUCCUAACCAUGGAUGCAUGCUGUAAGGCUU